CUGACGGGCGUGUCCGGGUCAAUUGCGGACUGCAACACCCGAUCUCCCUCGUCGUUCCCUCCGGAAUGGAGGUCGAGGAGGGGGAGCGCGUGACCGUCAG
ncrna:unclassified sequences L4-Archaeoglobi ribosomal protein leader